UAAACAAUGCGAUUCAAAGUUUGAAAAGAAUCUAUCUAGCCUCCGACAAAAUCACAUGAUCUGUGUGGGUUUUAGUAUAAGAUUAAACCCCAAAAAUUAAAUAAAUAAACCGAUCACCUACCCACAUUCUGACCUCGUGCGUGUCUGUCUAUAUACAACUAACAAAGUAGACAAACCAAAGCAAAACACACAAAGCUCAUCGAGAGAACAUUCAGACACUUCAUAGCUUCUUUAUUGGGGUACCCUGAGAUCACAAAGGAUAACAAACAAUGGGCAAGGGAGUCGCAGUCUUGAACAGCAGUGAGGGUGUUAAGGGGACUAUCUUCUUCACCCAGGAAGGAGACGGUGUGACCUCUGUGACUGGAACAGUUUCUGGACUUAAACCUGGUCUACAUGGUUUCCAUGUCCAUGCUCUUGGUGACACCACUAACGGUUGCAUGUCCACCGGUCCACAUUUCAACCCUGAUGGUAAACAACACGGUGCCCCAGAGGAUGCUAAUCGACAUGCUGGUGAUCUAGGAAACAUCAUUGUUGGAGAUGAUGGAACUGCCACCUUCACAAUCACUGACUGCCAGAUCCCUCUUAGUGGACCGAACUCUAUUGUCGGAAGGGCUGUUGUUGUCCACGCAGACCCUGACGAUCUCGGAAAGGGGGGCCAUGAACUCAGCUUGGCUACCGGAAACGCAGGCGGCCGUGUUGCUUGCGGCUGAAAAUAAACCACCUAUAACAUCAUGUCGGUUUAGAAAUGAAUGUAUCAUAGUUUGGGAAGUGGCGAGAGAUUAACUAUCGGCUGGUAUUAUUGGUCUUCAGGGCUAAGUAAGCUGUUACUUAUCGAGGAAGGGAGUGAUGCAAUAAGGAGGUCAUAUAUACCUCUAGACCUGGCUAGUUUGUGUGUGUAUCUGUGUGUGUGUGUGGCUAUAAUCUCUCCUUUGUGGCUCAAUACAUUCUAUUUAAGACAAAAAAAAAAAAAAACAGAGAAAAUUUUGGACUUUUACUAUUUCAUGAAUAAGAGCAGAUGUGAAACUAAAA